UACAGAGGGGGCGAGCGUUGUUCGGAAUUACUGGGCGUAAAGGGCGCGUAGGCGGCCAACUAAGUCAGACGUGAAAUCCCUCGGCUCAACCGGGGAACUGCGUCUGAUACUGGAUGGCUUGAAUUCGGGAGAGGGAUGCGGAAUUCCAGGUGUAGCGGUGAAAUGCGUAGAUAUCUGGAGGAACACCGGUGGCGAAGGCGACUUCCUGGCCUGUUCUUGACGCUGAGGCGCGAAAGCUAGGGGAGCAAACGGG
rnacentral:rRNA from 1 species